GAUGAAGAACGUAGCGAAAUGCGAUAAGUAGUGUGAAUUGCAGAAUUCAGUGAAUCAUCGAGUCUUUGAACGCACAUUGCGGCCAUAGGUAUUCCUUUGGCCAUGCCUGUUCGAGCGUCAUUUACACCCUCAAGCCUAGCUUGGUGUUGGGCGCCUGUCCCGCCGUUUUCGCGCGCGGACUCGCCUCAAAGUCAUUGGCGGCGGUCGUGCCGGCCCCCUCGCGCAGCACAUUUGCGCUUCUCGGAGGCCCGGCGGAUCCGCGCUCCAGCAAGACCUUUCACGACUUGACCUCGGAUCAGGUAGGGAUACCCGCUGAACUUAAGCAUAUCAAUAAGCGGAGGA
rnacentral:misc_RNA from 1 species